UACGUAGGGUCCGAGCGUUGUCCGGAAUUACUGGGCGUAAAGAGCUCGUAGGUGGUUUGUCGCGUUGUUCGUGAAAACUCACAACUCAAUUGUGGGCGUGCGGGCGAUACGGGCAGACUGGAGUACUGCAGGGGAGACUGGAAUUCCUGGUGUAGCGGUGGAAUGCGCAGAUAUCAGGAGGAACACCGGUGGCGAAGGCGGCCCCCUGGGCCGGCCCUGACACUGAGACGCGAAAGCGUGGGGAGCGAACAGG
rnacentral:rRNA from 1 species